rnacentral:rRNA from 1 species
AGCAGCCGCGGUAAUUCCAGCUCCAAUAGCGUAUAUUAAAGUUGUUGCAGUUAAAAAGCUCGUAGUUGAAUUUCGGGAUUGGCGUGUCGGUCGUGCCCUAAGGGGUAUGAACUGGCAUCGUUGAUUCUCACCUUCUGGAGAAUCACGACGCCCUUAAUUGGGUGUCGUGUGGAUCCAGGACCUUUACCUUGAAAAAAUUAGAGUGUUUAAAGCAGGCAUUAUUGCUCGAAUACAUUAGCAUGGAAUAAUAAAAUAGGACGGCUUGGUUCUAUUUUGUUGGUUUCUAGGAUCACCGUAAUGAUUAAUAGGGAUAGUUGGGGGCAUUAGUAUUCAAUUGUCAGAGGUGAAAUUCUUGGAUUUAUUGAAGACUAACUACUGCGAAAGCAUUUGCCAAGGAUGUUUUCAUUAAUCAAGAACGAAAGUUAGGGGAUCGAAGACGAUCAGAUACCGUCGUAGUCUUAACCAUAAACUAUGCCGACUAGGAAUCAGACGAUGUUAAUUUUUUAAUGACUCGUUUGG